UACGGAGGGUGCGAGCGUUAUCCGGAAUUACUGGGUUUAAAGGGUGCGUAGGCGGCUUGUUAAGUCAGGAGUGAAAGUUUGCGGCUCAACCGUAAAAUUGCUUUUGAUACUGGCAGGCUAGAAUUAGGAUGAGGUUAGCGGAAUGUGGCAUGUAGCGGUGAAAUGCAUAGAUAUGCCAUAGAACACCAAUUGCGAAGGCAGCUGGCUAGACCUAUAUUGACACUGAGGCACGAAAGCGUGGGGAUCAAACAGG
rnacentral:rRNA from 1 species